rnacentral:rRNA from 1 species
UACGAGGGGGGCGAGCGUUGUUCGGAAUUAUUGGGCGUAAAGGGUGCGUAGGCGGUUUUGUAAGUCUCGUGUGAAAUCUCCGGGCUCAACUCGGAGCCUGCACGAGAAACUGCCGGGCUUGAGUGUGGGAGAGGUGAGUGGAAUUCCUGGUGUAGCGGUGAAAUGCGUAGAUAUCAGGAGGAACACCUGUGGCGAAAGCGGCUCACUGGACCAUAACUGACGCUGAUGCACGAAAGCUAGGGGAGCAAACAGG